rnacentral:lncRNA from 1 species
UGGGUCACACUCAAAUUUUACUAGCGUGUUCGUUUCAUCAAGACGAGCGUUUCGAUAUGUAGCAUGCCCCACGACAACGCCGGAGCAGGGAAAAAAACUAGAGAGAAGUUGUCAAUUCGUGAAGGAAGUUGCAGGAAAAUCAACAACGACAUGCCUCGCUCGAGUGGCCAAAUCACGGCGUUCGCGCAUCGGAUUGAGGCGAGACCAGUU